rnacentral:rRNA from 1 species
GACGAACGCUGGCGGCGUGCCUAAUACAUGCAAGUCGAGCGGACUUUCAAGAAGCUUGCUUUUUGAAAGUUAGCGGCGGACGGGUGAGUAACACGUGGGCAACCUGCCUGCAAGACGGGGAUAACUCCGGGAAACCGGGGCUAAUACCGGAUAAUAUCUUCCUUCGCAUGAAGGAAGGUGGAAAGGCGGCGCAAGCUGCCGCUUGCAGAUGGGCCCGCGGCGCAUUAGCUAGUUGGUGAGGUAACGGCUCACCAAGGCGACGAUGCGUAGCCGACCUGAGAGGGUGAUCGGCCACACUGGGACUGAGACACGGCCCAGACUCCUACGGGAGGCAGCAGUAGGGAAUCUUCCGCAAUGGACGAAAGUCUGACGGAGCAACGCCGCGUGAGCGAAGAAGGUCUUCGGAUCGUAAAGCUCUGUUGUCAGGGAAGAACAAGUACCGUUCGAACAGGGCGGUACCUUGACGGUACCUGACCAGAAAGCCACGGCUAACUACGUG